rnacentral:rRNA from 1 species
AUGUCUCUUAUUUUGCUGAUCUCGUGGAAAAUUUGGAACGAGAGGAAUGCACGCGUCUUCCGUAACACCGCGGUGCCGGUUGGUGUUCUUGCUGCUAGAAUCAAAGAUGUUUCAAAGCUUUGGUGCCUUGUAGGGGCCAAGUAUUUGAGUAUUGUAGUGCCUCGAGAGUAA